rnacentral:misc_RNA from 1 species
UUCCGUAGGUGAACUGCGGAAGGAUCAUUAAUAAAUGGUCUACGUUUUUUUAAGUAGACGCUUAUAAUCCUACCCUUUGUGAAUUUGUUUGUUUGAAAUAAUUUUUUUUAAAUUAUGAAUGUCUUUCCCUGUUGAAUUGGUUGUCUUAAUGGCAAUGAUUCGCAGGGGAGUGUCAGUAAUUUUAAAAAGACCUUUUUUAAAUUAAACUUUUGUAUUCAUUUGUCUAAAAUUAUUUUUAUAAUAUAAAACAACUUUGACAAUGGAUCUCUUGGUUCUCGCACGAUGAAGAACGCAGCAAAAUGCGAUAAGUAGUGUGAUUGCAGAAUACGUGAAUCAUCGAAUCUUCGAACGCAUAUUGCACUUUUUUAGUUACUAAAAAGUAUGUCUGUUGAGUAUCAGUAAAUAUCUCAUAAAAACUUUUUGUUUUAUGGUUAUGAGUGUUUACAACGAUACAAGUGUUUCACUUUAAAUUUUUUUUAAAUUGAAUUUUCUAAUUUAAAUAAAUUGGAUAAAAUUUCCCGUAAAAAAGGAAUAACCUAAACAUUUAAUUUUGAUUAGAAUUCUCAAUUAUAAAGAAAUUUAACUAAAUAACUUGAUCUCAAAUCAGAUAAGAGUACCGCUGAACUUAAGCAUAUCAUAAGCGGAGGAAAAGAAACUAACAAGGUUCCCUUAGUAACGGCGAGUGAAGCGGGAAGAGCUCAAAUUUGAAAUCUUCAAGGUUUUACCUUGACGAAUUGUAGUUUAAAGAAGUGUUUCUGUUGAAGUUUGGUAAAGUUCUUUGGAAUAGGACAUCAUAGAGGUGAGAAUCCCGUAUUUGACAUUAUUUUCAGCUGUGUGAUACACUUCAAAGAGUCGGAUUGUUUGGAAUGCAGUCCAAAUGGGUGGUAAUUCAUCUAAAGCUAAAUAUUGGCGAGAGACCGAUAGCGAACAAGUACGUGAGGAAAGAUGAAAAGAACUUUGAAAAGAGAGUUAAACAGUACGUGGAAUUGUCAAAAGGGAAGCGUUGACACCAGUGUUGUUUCUCGAAAUCAAUUAAAAAGAGUUGGAUUUUGUGUUGUAUUGACCUUAACAGCUUGCUUCACUCUUUUCUUGCUUUUUUAAUGCACUUUCGUUUAACAAGUCAACAUCAGUUUCUUUGUUGUAAAAGGUCAUUGAAGGUGGCUUUCUCUUCGGAGAAAGUGUUUAUAGCCUUUGAUCUCUGCAAUCGGAGAGACUGAGGUCUGCAGCGUAGAUCCUUCGGGUUAGAUACAUUGUGCUAAGCUACAGCUUUUCAUAGACAACUUGUUGACUAUGUUUAGUCUUGUAACUACCCGCUUAUGCUAUUUACCUACGCUUAGGAUGU